rnacentral:tRNA from 1 species
AAAUAAGAAGCAAAAUAUUGCGUUUAGUUUCGACCUAAAAGUAUGGUUUAACCCUUAUUUU